rnacentral:rRNA from 1 species
AUUGAACGCUGGCGGCAUGCCUAACACAUGCAAGUCGCACGCGAAAGGGGGCAACCCCGAGUAGAGUGGCGGACGGGUGCGUAACGCGUAGGAAUAUACCUGGUAGUGGGGGACAACCCGGCGAAAGCCGGGCUAAUACCGCAUACGAUCUACGGAUGAAAGCAGGGGACCGCAAGGCCUUGCGCUAUCAGAUUAGCCUGCGUCGGAUUAGCUAGUUGGUGAGGUAAAGGCUCACCAAGGCAACGAUCCGUAGCUGGUUUGAGAGAACGACCAGCCACACUGGGACUGAGACACGGCCCAGACUCCUACGGGUGGCUG